UCAGGACGAACGCUGGCGGCAUGCCUAACACAUGCAAGUCGAACGGGGGUAGCAAUACCCUAGUGGCGAACGGGUGAGUAACACAUAAGCAAUCUGCCCUUCACAGGGGGAUAACAGCGGGAAACUGCUGCUAAUACCGCAUAAGACCACGGUACCGCAUGGUACAGGGGUAAAAACGAAUCAGUGGUGAAGGAUGAGCUUAUGUCCCAUUAGCUAGUUGGUGAGAUAACAGCCCACCAAGGCGACGAUGGGUAGCCGACCUGAGAGGGUGAUCGGCCACACUGGAACUGAGACACGGUCCAGACUCCUACGGGAGGCAGCAGUGGGGAAUAUUGGGCAAUGGAGGAAAAACCUCUUACCCAGCAAUGCCGCGUGAGUGAAGAAGGUCUUCGGAUUGUAAAGCUCUUUGAUUGGGGACGAAGAAAGUGACGGUACCCAAAGAACAAGCCCCGGCUAACUACGUGCCAGCCGCAGC
rnacentral:rRNA from 1 species